GAUGAACGCUAGCGACAGGCUUAACACAUGCAAGUCGAGGGGCAGCGGGGGCAGCAAUGCCUACCGGCGACCGGCGCACGGGUGAGUAACGCGUAUGCAACUUGCCUAUCAGAGGGGAAUAGCCCGGCGAAAGUCGGAUUAAUGCUCCAUAAAACAGGGGUCCCGCGUGGGAAUAUUUGUUAAAGAUUCAUCGCUGAUAGAUAGGCAUGCGUUCCAUUAGGCAGUUGGCGGGGUAACGGCCCACCAAACCGACGAUGGAUAGGGGUUCUGAGAGGAAGGUCCCCCACAUUGGAACUGAGACACGGUCCAAACUCCUACGGGAGGCAGCAGUGAGGAAUAUUGGUCAAUGGCCGGGAGGCUGAACCAGCCAAGUCGCGUGAAGGAUGAAGGAGCUAUGGUUUGUAAACUUCUUUUAUACGGGAAUAAAGUGUGGGACGUGUCCCAUUUUGUAUGUACCGUAUGAAUAAGCAUCGGCUAACUCCGUGCCAGCCGCCGCAGUAAAAC
rnacentral:rRNA from 1 species